rnacentral:rRNA from 1 species
UACAGAGACUGCAAGCGUUAUUCGGAUUCACUGGGCGUAAAGGGUGCGCAGGCGGCCAAGCGUGUGAGGCGUGAAAGCCCGGGGCUUAACCCCGGAAUUGCACGUCAAACUACAUGGCUAGAGCAUUGGAGAGGGUAGCAGAAUUCACGGUGUAGCAGUGAAAUGCGUAGAUAUCGGGAGGAACACCGGUGGCGAAGGCGGUUCUCUGGGCCUGUACUGACGCUGAUGCGCGAAAGCCAGGGGAGCAAACGGG